UCCUUAGAUGUUCUGGGCUGCACGCGUGUUACAAUCGGGAGUACAACAAGAUUGCAAAUCCUAGUGGAUGAGUGGUUCUUCGAAAUUUUCUGAAGACUGGGAUAGUUGAUUGAAAUUAUUCAACUCAAACGAGGAAUUCCUUGUAAUUGUAAUUCAUUAUAUUGUAAUGAAUACGUCCCUGCCCUUUGUACACACCGCCCGUCGCUCCUACCGAUUGAACGAUCCGGUGAAUUAUUUGGAGUAGCUCUGGAAGUUGCAGAACUUCCUAUGUCACGAAAUUUUGUAAACCUUAUCGUUUAGAGGAAGGAAAAGUCGUAACA
rnacentral:rRNA from 1 species